UUAUUUACGUUCUCAGCUUUUACACUACAACCAUUACAUUUGUUAUUUUGUUUUCUCUCUUUUUUUCUUUUGGUUUUGAAUAAUAAAGUCAUCAUCUUGCUUCCCCACUAACAUUUGGCACGAGUAGGAAUGGUUUAGGUGUGCUCAGUUUUGGCCUAAAUGGUUAUCGAACGAGCCUAAAUGUUUGUUUCAAUUCUCUACCCCUGCUGUUGGUGGAUUUCAAGUUAUUUACAAAAUUGCCAACUUUCGGUGAGGGUUUCAGGGAUGGGAGGCCAUGCCGCUCUGGGAUAAAGAUAGACAGACAGAGGGAGAGGGAGACAGAGCGACAGAGAGAAAGGGAGAGGGAGGAGUGGGGAUCUCAGUACCAUUGCGACAGAUCCUCGAUUUCAUGAGUGGGAGAGGGGGUACAGUCAGAGAAAAGUAUGGGGGCCGUCGGGAUUUGAGGGGGAAGGGUAUGGAUCGGGGCCGGGGAUCUGGGUUUGUCCCUUUGGGCUGUUUGCGACCUCUCUUAGCGACUUACUCCGGCUUCCGAUGAUGGAAACACUAAAUCAUUCACUCCUCAAUCAAUGAUGCUGACAGAAGAUUACGGAGUUGAGUACCAGGAUGAGGAGACUAGGAAUGAGUUUUGGCUCUUAAUAAUUGCUGCUUUGUUGCUUGGAAUUGUCAGUGCUUUCAGUUCGACUUCAACAAUACUAUAUGUGCAUCUUAAAGUUAUAGGAAUAUAAUUUACGUUUCAGAAUUUAAUUUAUUUAAGUGUUUUGCUAAAACACAAACACUGAGACUUGGUGGUGGCCUGCACUUUGCAGCCACAACUAAGACCAAGGGGUUGAUUUUUAUUUUCCUUUCCUUACCAAUUGGAUAAAAGUGCAACCCACCAGAUAAGUAGUUAAUUAGUUAUACUACUAAAGUUACAUAAUGCCACUUAGCAGCUGGAAAUUAACGAACUAGAUUUCUUAACAUA